rnacentral:rRNA from 1 species
CCUACGGGUGGCUGCAGUGGGGAAUAUUGGACAAUGGGCGAAAGCCUGAUCCAGCCAUGCCGCGUGUGUGAAGAAGGCCUUCGGGUUGUAAAGCACUUUCAGUGGGGAAGAAAGCCUUGGGGCUAAUACCCUCGAGGAAGGACAUCACCCACAGAAGAAGCACCGGCUAACUCCGUGCCAGCAGCCGCGGUAAUACGGAGGGUGCGAGCGUUAAUCGGAAUUACUGGGCGUAAAGCGCGCGUAGGCGGUCUGAUAAGCCGGUUGUGAAAGCCCCGGGCUCAACCUGGGAACGGCAUCCGGAACUGUCAGGCUAGAGUGCAGGAGAGGAAGGUAGAAUUCCUGGUGUAGCGGUGAAAUGCGUAGAGAUCGGGAGGAAUACCAGUGGCGAAGGCGGCCUUCUGGACUGACACUGACGCUGAGGUGCGAAAGCGUGGGUAGCAAACAGGAUUAGAUACCCGAGUAGUC